CCUCUUCUCAACUAUGUAACGUUACUUACUACUCACCACUCACUCCCAUUCAUUCUUUGCUUCCUGCAAUUCCUUCUUUUCUCUCUCAAAAACCCUAAUUCCCAAUUUCCCCAAUCGCUUCUUCCUUCUCGCCCCGUCGCUAGGCGCUUUAGGGUUCCGAUUCGCCGGGGAAGAUGAGCACGCAGAAGAAGCGCGCGUUCCAGAUAGAGGC
rnacentral:sRNA from 1 species